AAUGGCUGCAGUAAUUUGACUGUACAAAGGUAGCAUAAUCAUUAGUUUUUUAAUUAAAAGCUUGUAUGAAAGGUUGGACGAAAUAAAAUCUGUCUCUUUUUAAUAUAAUUAGAAUUUAAUUUUUAAGUUAAAAAGCUUAAAUAAAUUUAAAAGACGAGAAGACCCUAUAGAGUUUAAUAAUUUUUUUUUUUAAUUAAUUUAGAUUUAUUUAUUUUAUUUUAAAAAAAUUAUUUUAUUGGGGUAAUAGAAAGAUUAAAAUAAUUCUUUUUUAAAAAAAUCAUUAAUUUAUGAAAAUUUAUGAUCCAUUGAAUUUUGAUUAUAAGAUUAAAUUACCUUAGGGAUAACAGCGUAAUUUUUUUUAAGAGUUCAUAUCGAUAAAAAAGUUUGCGACCUCGAUGUUGGAUUAAAGAUUAAUUUAGGUGUAGAAGUUUAAAUUUUUGGUCUGUUCGACCAUUAAAUCUUUACAUGAUCUGAGUUCAAACCGGUGUAAGCCAGGUUGGUUUCUAUCUUUAAAAAAAAUUUAAUAUUUUAGUACGAAAGGACCAGAUAUUAUAUAUAUUAAUAUUUAAGUUAUUGAAUAUU
rnacentral:rRNA from 1 species